rnacentral:rRNA from 1 species
GACAGAGGGUGCAAACGUUGUUCGGAAUUACUGGGCGUAAAGCGUGUGUAGGCGGCUUUGCAAGUCGGAUGUGAAAGCCCCGGGCUCAACCCGGGAAGUGCACUCGAUACUGCGAAGCUUGAGUGUCGGAGAGGUUGGUGGAAUUCUCGGUGUAGAGGUGAAAUUCGUAGAUAUCGAGAGGAAUACCGGUGGCGAAGGCGGCCAACUGGACGAGUACUGACGCUGAGACACGAAAGCGUGGGGAGCAAACAGG